rnacentral:rRNA from 1 species
AUGUGGAACGACGAGCUCAAAGUCACUGUUCAUGUUGCCACUUUCCACUAUAUAUUAGCUAAUGUUAUCCAUGUAGACUCUGGGGUCAAUUUUUGUUUGAUCUGUAUAUAUGGUGACCCGUACCACAAGCAGACUUCGGUCAUCUGGGACCAAGUUGCUGCUUUUGUCUAUGAUAACCUAGGUAAACCCAUGGUUUGUAUGGGAGACUUGAACGACAUCUUGUAUGAUAUCGAUGGAUGUACUGGCAAUAUUAACUACUAUCGUAUGCAUGCUUUUCGUUCUCUUGUCAAAAAUUGUGGUCUGUUUGAUAUUGGUUAUAGCGGUCCAGCAUACACUUGGCGUGGUAGGCAUAACACUUCUAAACCCAUUCACAGACGUCUUGAUCGAUGUCUGGUUAACUCUCAGUGGUGCUCUUUUUAUCCCAACACUAAGGUUUUAAAUCUGCCUAUCAUUCUCAGUGAUCAUGCCCCUAUUUUAAUCUCUACUGAUGGUAAUUUUGUGAGACCUAAACAAACUUUCAAAUUUUAA